GAGGCUGUGAUGAGGUUGAUAAGUGC
rnacentral:piRNA from 1 species